AAAGACUACUGUGCCAUCCUUAGGAGGAUCAAGGGUGGGCAUGGGACCAAAAAUGGAGUGUAACUUGCAAGAGAAAGGGAAAUGAAUGCUGGAUGGCCAAAAGUACCAGAAACAUAUAGACGUCAUCUAUCUCAUUUCUGGUCCCUUCUUCCACCGGUUGCUUAUUUUAGAAAGCUUGAGUCCUUUCUCUUCUUUUUUCUUCUAUCCCCAAUUUCCAUGACUUUUUUAUUAAUCAACUUCCUAAAUACCUUUCUCAUCCAUCUACUUUCCUCCAUUCCCAUUUUAAUGUCUCAUCUUGCCCAGGCUGCUUCAAUGUCCUCAGUAGCAGUUGGAAGUCAGAAGCCUCACCUGAUAUGUUAACAGAAAUGGAAUAAAAUAGUUAUUCACUCUGUAACUAAAAGGAUAAAAAGUGAACUUUAAAGAGUCUUGGAACAGCAGCUGCAGGAAGCAAGUACCAUUUCUAGGCCUGGGGGAUAUAAGAAGUGUUUGGAAGUACCACAACUUAGAAGCAUGGAGAAGGGGUCCCAUGGAGCUGAAAUUCAGAGCAUUGAAGAGGAGCCCUGGCCAGUUCUGUUUAAUGAGGAAGGGGGUGAAAACCCAAAUUUGUUAUCAUCGUUUUCGCUUUCCCAUCAAGAAAGGAACAUCCUUUCUGCUCCUGUUUUCCACACAGCUCAGAGAAGAGAGGGGUUAACACUGUGUGUCUGGUUUGCAACGGAGUCAAAUGCCUCAUUUGGACAUCUCUCUGCCUCGCAUGGAGGGAACUGCCCACGCCCACGUCACCCCAGACUCUGUGAUGGCAAAAGUGUGAUUCCGAGAGUCACUUAUUACCGCUAAUUGGGAGGGACAGUUCAAAUAAGCACAGAGGAGCAGUUAUCACAUGAGCGUGACAUGGUUUUAAAGGGGCCUUCCUGCAUCCCUGAACUCCCACAGCAGGCUGGCUGGCCGCCUGGGCCUCAGGCCUCCAGAGAGCGGAGGCUUUGUCAGGGCGCCCCAUAGAAGUCCGCAGCCUAAGAAAGCUCGGUUUGGCAAGUCACCGGAGGGAGCCACAGACGCGCAGCUGCCUGGGACACUUAGAAAGUCAACAGCUGACGGAAGGGGAGGACUCUGAGUUUGGCUGUAAGUGGACUUGAAGAUGUGAUUGGAAUUAAUUUGCAGAACAUAGAGGAUGUGUUCUUUAAAGGGCCCAAUUGGUUUUAGAGAACAUUCAUUUGUAUGAGUGUUCAAAUAUUAAUAAAG
rnacentral:lncRNA from 1 species